AAGUGCUGCACGUUGUUGGGCCCCGGAGGGAAGAACCGGCGAGAGACUCGGGCCACGGGAGAUGCCAGCACAAGGUCUCGGAGGCUCUGCUUGGCAGUGUCGGCUGCUGGGGAAGCAGAGCUCUGGGGCCGCUAGACGUUGGCCUGCGCUUGGGUGUCGAAGGCAAAGGACACAGGGUGGGGCCUCGUGUGGGUGGUUCCUGGCUGGGAGCAGUUUGCAUGCGGGAAUGAUAGAGCUGGUGUUCGGGAAUGAUAGAGCUGGUGUUCGUGGAGCACUGACUGUGAAUGAAGCCCUGUCCUAAGCAUCCUAAAUUUGUUAUCUCAGAAGCAAGAGUCUAUUAUCCUAAGAAAACCAAAAUCCCAAGAGCACAAAGGAUGCAGGGAGCUCCCAUUGUGGCUCAGCGGGUUAAGAACCAACUUGCCUCUGUGAGGAUGCGGGUUCGAUCUCUGGCCUCACUCAGUGGGUUACGUAUCCUGAGUUGCUGUGAUCUUUCACAUAAGUCACAGAUGCGGGUUGGAUGCAGUGUUUCCUGUUCAGUCCCUAGCCUGGGAGCCUCCAUAUGCUGCAGGUGUGGCCGUUAAAAGGAAAAAAUAAAAAACUAAAGAUGCAGUUGAUAGAAAAGGGGGCCUUGCGAUCUGGCUGAUACUUUGUGCUCUUUAAUCGCGGGCUCGGAUCCUUAGCAAUGGGCCCCGGGGUGGUACCACUGCCCUGCGGACCUACUUUGCUGAAUGAUGUGAACGAGAAUAUCCUUUACUCCCCCUGCCCUGCAUGAGGCAAAUUUCAAAUGCAAUCAUACGCUUUGGAGAAUGUGCCUGUGUGGGCAUCAGGAGAUGUGUCUGCCUUGGGGGGAGUUUUUCUUUUCAUCGAAGCCCAGGAAGUUUUUAUUUUAUUUUAUUUUAUUUUAUUUUAUUUAUUUAUUUAUUUAUUUAUUUAUGUCUUUUUGCCUUUUCUUGAGCCGCUUCUGCAGCAUAUGGAGGUUCUCAGGCUAGGGGUCUAAUCAGAGCUGUAGCCACUGGCCUCCGCCAGAGCCAUAGCAACUCGGGAUCCAAGUCGAGUCUGUGACCCACACCGCAGCUCAUGGCAAUGCCAGAUCCUUAACCCACUGAGCCAGGCCAGGGAUCGAACCCGCAACCUCAUGGUUUUUAGUCAGAUUCGUUUACCACUGUGCCAUGACAGGAACUCCGAAGCCCAGGAAGUUGAUGGCGAUGAGAAGCCAGUGGUAUUUUCUGCUCUGAUGGCUGAUGAGAAAAGUUUCCUCCAAGGGAGCUCAGCUGAGCCGAGAGUUCCAUUCUCCAGGUCCUACCAGCUCCACCUACAGAUGCCACCCCUGGGUCCAGUGGACUGUGAGACUAGCUGGAUUGCCAUGGCAACAGGAACUGGACCCAAGCCACCAGGGGAUGGAGAGCAAAGACUCAGGGGUGGCUUUUUGAGGCCUUGGACCAUGCGACAUGCCCAUGGCCUCCAGCGAGGAGCCGGGGAUAAUCCAUCAUCGCGCCCCGUGCUUCCCCCGAGUCUGCUAAAGCAGCCUUGGGUCCUUGCCUUUCUGCCCUUGGUGUCUGUGCUUGGUGACAGGGAGCUGUGAUAGGGGCGGUUCUCUGCCCCACUGAGUAUCUCCAUUGGUCUCCAAUCUAGUGCUUAUAGGAAGUCACCCGAGUCCCAGAGGGGAAGUCACAUGCCAGGGACUGACUCCUCUGACCCGACUAAGACAAGCCUCCAGGGUCCCUGAGGCGAUGGGGACCUUUGCUGCAGACCCAGGCCAGCACCUGCUGUGACCCCCCAGCCUCCGCAUGUCCCUCCGCACCCCAUUCCCCUUCCAGCCGCUGUCCAGGGCACCUCCCCCACUCGUGCCCACCCCCGGACCCCAUCUCUUGACUCCGUCUUGCCUGUCUGCUGCUCCUAACGCUGGGGAGGACAGGAGCCUGUUUCCACUCCGACUGCUUUACGAGAGUCAGAAGCCCUCAGAGCGGUUUUCUGGGGUUUGGACUCGAUCUUGGCCUUGGCCUAAUUCCAUCCGAUAGGUCCGUCCACCAUUCUAAGCCAGUCCUCUUUCUCUUAUUGUCGGAGAACAGAGCAAGCAGCCAACUCGCACUCCUGUGGGCAUUGCAGGGAGGGCCGGCUUCCAAGAAGGUCCCUUUGUCACGCACGCUGGGGUGACCCCACCCAUGGCUGCCUGACCACAAUUCCCUCUGCUCCCCAGGCCGAGCGUGGGCUGAAGUGAGGACACAGAAUGCCUGGGAUGCCAGCUGCGGUGACAGAGUGCACUCAGGCCCUUCAGGAGCCCAGGAUCGCUUCUCACUGAAGUCUUUACAUUUUUCCCAGUUUUAGGCCAAAGAAUGCCUGCUUUCUCCCAACCACCAGUUGAUUCAGGGACUUGAACUUCUCUCUCUUUUUUUGUCUUUUUUUGCUAUUUCUUGGGCCGCUCCUGUGGCAUUUGGAGUGCAGCCCUAAAAAGACAGGGGAAAAAAAAAAGCAAAAGGGCCUUUCUCAGAUAGUUUACCUGUAGACCAUCCUGGAUAAUCAAUAAUGGAGUAGAAACAGCAGGCAGUCUGCUUCCAUUCAGGUCUUGGAUAAAAGUGAUGUCUGUAGCAAUUGAAUUUACUUCUACGGUCUUUAGAGCAGAUAGGAUAUAUUCUGUCAUCUUUACUUUUUUUUUUUUUUUUUUUUUUUUUUUUUGUCUUUUUGCCUUUUCUAGGGCCGCUCCUGUGGCAUAUGGAGGUUUCCAGGCUAGGGAUCUAAUCGGCGCUGCAGCCACCAGCCUACACCAGAGCCACAGCAACACAGGAUCCGAGCCACGUCUGCAAGCUACACCAUAGCUCACAGCAACGCCGGAUCCUUAACCCACUGAGCAAGGCCAGGGAUCGAACCCGCAACCUCGUGGUUCCUAGUCGGAUUCGUUAACCACUGCGCCACGACGGGAACUCCCAUCUUUACUUCUGAUUGUAGGAGAGAAAAUACGCUUGGAUAUACAUCUAGCUCUUUAUCUUUCUAGAACUCCUGGAGAGGUGCGUGAGGAAGCAAGGUCCAGAUCCCACUCUGGGGAACGGAGGGGCAGAUGGUAGUUCUUAGCUCGUGGGUUGGAGAGGGAGCAAGGAUUUUGUGAUUGGAGAGUUCCCACCUUGGCUCAGAGGUAACAAGCCUGACUAGUAUCCAUGAGGAUGCGGGAUCGAUCCCUGACCCCACUCAGUGGGUUAAGGAUCUGGCGUUGCCGUGAGCUGUGGUGUAGGUCGCAGAUGCGGCUUGGAUCCUGCGUUGCUUGUGGCUCUGGCAUAGGCUGGCGGCUACAGCUCUGAUUCAGCCCCUAGCCUGGGAACUUCGAUAUGCCGCAGGCGAGGCCCUAAAAAGACAAAAAAGGGGGGGGGAAUUUCAUGGUUGAACUUGAGUUUGGAGGCAGGUGGAGUUAGAUGCAACUUUUAUGUUUAGGAGGAAAGUAUUUGAUCUUCUGGACUGUGAAGCAAAGUGGGAGUUAUGUACUUUGGAUUAUGAUAUAUAUGCAUAGACAUUUAAUAAGCUUUAUGGAUCGUACUAAUCAAUUUCCUGGCUUCAGUAUUGUUCUAUAAUCACAUAAGGUGUUACCUCUGGGAGUUAAUGGCUAAAAGGUACAGGGGAUCUCUGUACAUUUGGGGGAGGGCAAUUUUCUAUAAAUCCGUGAUUAUUUGAAAAUAAAAUGUUACAACAU
rnacentral:lncRNA from 1 species